CACAGGCAUGCUCUUCUAUUUCAUUUCCUCCAUCUUCACCCUUUCAACACACUUUUGCACUUCCAAAAACAUGUCUCAAAGUUUUGAAACUUCAAUGUUUGCUAUACAACCCGAUAUUUGUGAAUGCAGUUAUUACUGUAAACUAAAAACAUCAAAGACCCAAAAUAAUCCGGGUUGCCGUUUUUGGCAUUGUAAAGUGCCCGAAGAUAUGGGCGGCUGCAAACACUUUCGGUGGGAAGAUAGCAUUUACGUGGAUAAAACGGUGGCGGCGAAGUUUAAAAAUUCACUUUUUGAUAGAGAUACGGCGACUUCACGUAUCUCUAAAGAUACCGCUAAGUUGGACUCGCAAUUUAAGCUUGUGGAAGCUGAAGAAAAAAUUGAACGUUUGGAGGUCUUGCUCACCGAUU